rnacentral:rRNA from 1 species
AUUGAACGCUGGCGGCAUGCCUUACACAUGCAAGUCGAACGGCAGCACGGGUGCUUGCACCUGGUGGCGAGUGGCGAACGGGUGAGUAAUACAUCGGAACGUACCUUAUCGUGGGGGAUAACGCAGCGAAAGCUGUGCUAAUACCGCAUACGCCCUGAGGGGGAAAGCGGGGGAUCGCAAGACCUCGCGCGAUUAGAGCGGCCGAUGCCUGAUUAGCUAGUUGGUGGGGUAAAAGCCCACCAAGGCGACGAUCAGUAGCUGGUCUGAGAGGACGAUCAGCCACACUGGGACUGAGACACGGCCCAGACUCCUACGGGAGGCAGCAGUGGGGAAUUUUGGACAAUGGGGGCAACCCUGAUCCAGCAAUGCCGCGUGAGUGAAGAAGGCCUUCGGGUUGUAAAGCUCUUUUGUCAGGGAAGAAACACUGGCUCUAACACAGUCCGGGAAUGACGGUACCUGAAGAAUAAGCACCGGCUAACUACGUGCCAGCAGCCGCCGUAA